UUGUGACGUAUGUGUUGAUAUGCAUGUGUAUGUGUUUGCCGCUCGAUUAUAAUUGCGAAGCCAAAACUGGCUAAAACGGUGUCGCAAGGAAUAAAUAUUGUAUUUAUAUGUGAUACAACGUCGAGCAAGAUUGUAGGGAACAUCACGUAACGCGAAGAUGAAUCCCGCGGAAGCUGAAUCUAUAGCUGACCUGGUUCAGAAUAUGAUUAUUUCUCUGUGUGGCGAACAAAAGCCAGAAUUGAUCAGAAGAUUUAUGCGUUUUUCCCUUGGCUUACUGUCAUCUACUCAAGGCAUAGAAACACUAAAAGAGGAUGAAAUGACUGUAGCGACAUAUAUAAAGAGUAAAUUAUCACCACGUGAUGCAGUACAGUUUGAUAAGCUGCAUAAUGAUUUAAAAGAUGGGCCACUGAAGAAUCGUAUAAACAUUCUGAUAUUUCUACUAAAUAUGGGCCAGUCAGUGGAACAAAUGAAGGACAAAAUCUUUUCAUUUCCAGACAUGAAAUCGGAAUUAAUCCCAAUUGCAUCUACUAGUGGACAAUCGUCACAAACGUCAUGUUCUCCAGCACAAGUUGUAUCGUUGAAUACUACAGAGACAAGUUUAAAAGGAUCAUUAACAAAUCCAAGUAAAAUAUUCAAUGAAGAAUGUAUUUCAGAAGAUGUACUAGUCCAGGAAUUGAUAUAUGCCUUCCAAAGUAUUGAAGGAAGAAUUUUAAAAUUAGAUUCCAGCUAUGGUUUUCAGAUAGAUCCUGCAGCAAAAAUUAACAGAUCACAAAAACAAGCUGUUUUAAGACUGAGCGAACUGGGAUACUUACAUAACGUAGUACAAAAAGGAUUGGAGAGAAUGUCUGUAGCUGGUGCAGGCAGAGUCACUGAUAGUUUUGUUGCUGCAUUACAUAAAGAAUUAUUAGAAUAUUACAGAUUAAUAGCCAUAAUGCAAGAAGAGGUGAAUAGAUCGCGAGUUACAUUGUCUCAUUUACAUCUUUGGGCAUUCGAUCCUUUGGAAACUCUCAAGUGGCUAGCGAGUAUAGUAAGAGCUUGCCAAGGCCAAAAAGGUGGUGCACUAGCAUCUACUGUUUAUGAAUUCAGUUAUCACGGGGAUUCUAAUGUGAAGAAUUUAGUGAAAAGAAUUUUGGAAAGUGUUUGCAAUCCCUUGUACAACAUGUUAAUGAGAUGGAUUGCAGCUGGAGAGCUAGACGAUCCAUAUAAGGAAUUUUUUAUUCAAGCAUGCAAUGAUGUUGGUGGAGACAGAAUGUGGCAUGAGAAAUAUCAAGUAAGAAAUUCAAUGGUGCCAUGCUUUCUUAGUACAGCACAAGCGAGGAAGAUUCUAGGAACAGGAAAAAGUAUUAAUUUCUUACGUGAAGUUUGUAAAGACUUUUCACCAUGGCAAGAUAGUCAAGCAGAUAUGUUCAAGAACAGUAAUAAGGACUAUAAUGUUGAAAUCUUUUUUGAUAUGGAUCCGGAUGGUCGUUUGCAAACUAUGAUGGAUGCUGCCUAUAAAGAAACUUCAGCAAGAGUUGUUGAGAUAUUGACAAAACAAUAUCAUCUUAUGGAUCAUUUACAAGGAAUUAAAGGAUAUCUAUUGCUUGGUCAAGGUCACUUUAUUCAACAUCUCAUGCACUUAUUAGAGCCUGAAUUAGCUAAACCAGCAAGUUCUUUGUACCCUCAUAACAUAUCAUCUAUUCUUGAAACUGCAAUAAGAGCAACCAGUACAAAAUUAGAUGAAUUAGAUGUGCAAAAACGUUUAGAUGUUAGGUUAUUAGCGCCUUCAGAAAGUGAAACAGGAUGGGACGUCUUUAUUCUAGAUUAUAAUGUCGAUGGACCUAUAGGAACGAUUUUGGAGCCAUGCAGACAAACGUAUCAAAAAGUCUUCUUUGCCUUAUGGAAAGCAAAAAGAAUGGAGUCAAUUUUAUCUGCUAUUUGGAAGCAACAGACAACGUCAGCGAAAAUGUUUAGAAAAAUGCUGGAAGUAUUGCCUAUCCAGAAUCAUAUUCAUCUAAUUACUAGUAGUAUGGUCCAUUUGGUUCAUCAAAUGCAAUAUUAUUUUUUAUUUGAGGUAAUCGAAUGUUCUUGGGAUACGUUUGCCAAACAACUUCUACAGGCAUCAUCCCUUGAUGAUAUAAUUGCAGCUCAUAGUCAUUUUGUUGAUUCUGUAAGGCAUGGUACAUUAUUGGAUGAAAAAUCGCAAGAACUUAUGGAUCACUUACGCUCAGUUUAUAGUCCAAUACUAGAUCUUCAGAAUCUCGAGGAAACUUUUCUUGCGCGCGCUACUCAGGAAUACGAGGCAAGAUUAAAUGAUAAUUCUGAGCAUACAUCACGUGGACAAAUGCAAAAAUGGGGUCGUACAAAUAAAAAAGAUCAAGAAAUUAUAGAAAGAGAGGCAGCGUUUUCAAAAUAUUUAAACACACUUUCAAUACAAUUGAGAUUACUUUCAAGAACCUAUCAGGAUCGUGUGAAAAAGUUCUUAUUAAUGCUUGCUUCCGCUGAAGAUGUGUCGCUGCAGUUACUUAGUGUACGAUUAGAUUUUAAUGAAUAUUACAAGAGUAAAGACAGUCGAUUAGGUGUGCCAUUAACAUAUCAACAUCGCAAACAAAGUGAUCAGACUUUCUUUGGAUGCAAGUGACAGUUGGCAGCAGAAAAUUCAUUAGAAAUCUUCAAUGAUUCAAGUCACCUUUCCAAUAAAUGCUGUACUGAGCAGGAUCCAUCUGACAUUAAUAUUGCAGAAAAUAUAAUCGAUUAAUUUUGGAAUUGUAAUGGCAUCCAAGAAAAAGAAGGCCAUGGAUACAUUAUAACUCAAAAUCUAUCUGAAAACAUUUUUUCGAAGAUUUUACUAACGUGCCAUUAGUUAAACCGAUUGAUUUAUCAACUAAGAGAGUAUUAAUCAAAUAAGAAAGCUGUGAUUAAUACAUUUAAAAUAUUAAGAAUUUCUUAGUAUGAAGAACGGCGAACAAUAAAUAAAACGGGACAACGUAAAGGCCAAUUACCAGUAUGAGAAUAUCCAUGAGCCCUUAAAUCACCGGGAGUUGGAAAAGAUCGCCCACAUUCAUCACAUUUGUGUGGUUUUUCCUGCAUUUCGAAUUGUAAGAAAAUACCUUAUAAUGUGUCAUACGGUGGUAAUACAAAUUCGAUGAUGCUGUGAAACGCUUCCCACACAUUGGACAUUCGUGAGGACGUUCACCAGUGUGAAUCCUAACGUGAGUAUUCAAUGAGCUGCUUGUACUAAACAUCUUACCACAUAUUGCGCAACCAUGUGGCUUUUCGCCUGAGAAUAGUUUUUUUAUAACAUUAUAAUUAUGUAGUUAUCCAAGUAUGAAAAAAGCUAGUUUUCAAACAAAUUUUCGUAAUUUUUUAUAAAGUUUUUAAUAAUUUUAUACGUGUUGUUAAAUAUUUGGUAACGUGCGUGUGCGUGUGCGUUUGCGUGCGCGUGUGCGUGUGUGUGUGUGUAUGUGAGACUAUUUGUUUACAAAAUUAAAAUGAGAAAUACAUUAUUAUUAACUUUCAAAAAUGCGCGUAUGCAAAUAGAUUGUUUGUAUAAAAUGUAUUACAAUAUUAAUAGAAUUUGUUAGGAUAUUAUUCUAUCUCUCCUAGUACAAACUCAUAAAUUCUAAAAAUAAAUAUAUAACAAAGUACAAAUGACAAUCUGUUUAUAUUACCAACGUUUAAAUGUCAAUAAUAAUCAUUGUCAGCAUAAACACAUUAAUAUGUUUAUUAUAUUGAAAACUUGUAAAAUGUAGAAUAAUUUAUAACAUAAACUUUCGUAAACAAUAAAAUAUAAAAUUCAUAAAAAAUAAA